AUGAUGACCAGAUGUCCUAAACUAAUACUAGGCCCAGACCAAGCCCCCAGACUACUACAGAUCCCACACCAGACCCCUACAUACAGAUUCAGACCAAAUCUUUAAACUAAUAUACAGACCCCAGACCAGGCUCCAUAUAAACCAACCCCAAACCUAUACCAGAACCCAAAACUUUUACAGACUCCCUUUACUUAGACCCCCAAACUAAUACAGACCCCAGACCAGGCUCCAUAUAAACCAACACCAACCCCAGACCAGACCCAGAUCGGAACCCAAAAUUAUUACAGACUCCCUUUACACAGACCCCCAAACUAAUACAGACCCCAGACCAGGCUCCAUAUAAACCAACACCAACCCCAGACCAGACCCAGAUCAGAACCCAAAAUUAUUACAGACUCUCUUUACACAGACCCCAGACCCCCAAACUAAUACAGACCCUAGACCAGGCUCCAUAUAAACCAACACCAACCCCAGACCAGACCCAGAUCGGAACCCAAAAUUAUUACAGACUCCCUUUACACAGACCCCCAAACUAAUACAGACCCCAGACCAGGCUCCAUAUAAACCAACACCAACCCCAGACCAGACC